ensembl:lncRNA
CAAGAAAGAAUGCAUGUUUUGAGUUCAGUGUGCAAAGAUGAUUUCAUGUUAUCUAGGUAAUAAUCAGUAUUUGUAUGUUCGUCACAAUGAAAUAUAAACAAAAAAGAUUGCUUACUUCCUUAAGAACAAAAAUAAGGGCAAAUUCAAAGGUGAAGAUCCUUAAGGAUCUCAUUAAAAUUAUGAUGCAGGAGAUGAAAUCACAAACUUGAAAGAAGUGCUCAAGACUUAAGGAGUGUAAUAGUUUAGUUUGCUUGGCCUUGAAUUUGGAGCUCUGAACUUGCAUGGUUGUAUGCGUAACUGUUCCUAUAACUGUUCAACUAACUCGGUUGGAAAGAGAGUCAUUAUGAUGUGUUGGAAAGUUACAGUAUGUGGAGACUGAAAAUACUGAUCCUGAGAAGUACACUCCUGACUCUUUGAUUAUAAUGAACAAGCUAUUUGAUUGCACCCAAUGUUACUAUUUAUUGUCCGCCUGGAAAGUACACAUAAUAUCUCUUAAUAAUGGCAGGUGGCUAUUGUAAAUCUCUGUCUAUUCUCUUUCUAGGAUACAAAGAAAAGAAUAUGGCAGCACUAUACACCUUCCAGUUCUCAUGGGGUAGCUCAAUAUGGAGAGGAAAUAGUCUUUUUACCUCUUGGAACAAGGAGGAAUUCUAAUUCCUUUAUUUAUUCAAAUACUUUUGAAUACAUACAUUGAUACAGACAUGAGCUACCCCUGGGUUUAUGUUUCUAUGAGUUCCUUUCCCAUUUGGAACUCUGGUCUGACUCAAGAAUUUUCUAGUAAAUGAUGGGAACACAUGUUAAACCCAUUCCUACUGACUUUCAGUUUCAUAUUUGUUAUAUGGUAACAGAAUGGUUUUCUUAUUCCAGCAGCUCACUUUCCAUGCAGCAACCAGAGUGAUUUUUAAAAACACAAAUUUUUUACAAAAUGCUCCUGGUUAAAAUCACUCGUUUCCAAUUACACUUAGAAUUUAAAAAAAAAAAAAAUCCUUAUCCUCCUCUUUGUAGUAGAGGAUCCCUCUAAAAUCAUUUGAUGCUAAUCCCUUCCUGGAUCACUCUGUUCCUCAAAUAGCCCUCUUCUGAUGCAGGAACUUUGCACAAGCUUUCUUUCUGCCUGAACAUUGCCUCAUGUCUUCAUGUCAGCCUAGAUCUUUGCAUGAAGGUAACCUUUUCAAUUUUUAAGGUCUUACACCAUUUUCUUCCAGUGUUCUUUGUAGUAUUUGCUGUAAUCCUAAAUCAUAUCUGCCUAUUUACUUUUUGUCUGUGUCCAAGGCUAGAUUAAAAAAAAAUUCUCCUCCCUCAUGGUUUUACACAUAUUCAAUAAGCAAUCAGAAUAAUUAACUGAAUGAGCAAACAGCUUCAGCACGAGUUGGUUAAAAGCGUAGGCUUCGACAGAUUGUAUUUACUUGGUGUAUAAGUGUUUGCCUUCCCUUUCUUUGUCUAUUUGCAAGUUAGAUGCGUCACCUCUAGCGCCUACCACACCCCACACUGAUAGAUGAGGACAUUCAGGUCUAGUGAAGGUCACUCUGUCUUGCAGCAAAAGAGAGCUUAUUUGAAGUUCAGGCGCUUUGCACUGUGAUGCACUAUGUGUUGAGCUGCUUCAGUUAUGUCCAACUCUUUGUGAUCCCCUGGACUGUAGCCCACUGGGCUCCUCUGUCCAUGGGAUUUCCCAGGCAAGAAAAUUGGAGUGGGUUGCCAUGGUCUCCUCCAAGGGAUCAUCCUGAUCCAGGGACUGAACUUGCAUCUCUUAUGUCUCCAGCAUUGGCAGGCAGGUUCUUUAUCCCUAGUGCCACCUGGGAAGCCCCUGUGAUGCACUGCCUCAUGCCUUUUUUUUUUUUUUUUUCAGACACUACUAAGGAUGUUCCACAGUCCAAUUUCUAGAAUAAUUUUCAGACCUAUACGUUUCCUUUUAGAGCAUUUUCUUGCAUCUCCUCUUCUAGGCUGCUCUUCAUUUAUGGCCCCUCUCUCUCAAACAACUUUUUUUGAACAUGAAGUUUGACCACCAAGACUCUUCUGUCAUAUACAGCUGUAUACAGUCUUUCCUGGUGAUACAGCUACCCAGGCAGUUGAGAUGCUCUGUCGGCCCCAUUGCUAGUUGCAGGCAGGGAAAAGAAUGAGGACCCUGUCUGCUGGCUCUCAUUUUCUACCAUAACAUAGUGUCCUGAUUUAAAACAGAAAAUGCCUAUGGUGGAUUCACUCUCAUAUUAACACUGUGAAGAUUUUUUUCCUGGAUUAUCCCAGAUCAUUGCUGCUCCUCUUCACCUCACUAUGUUUUAGAUUAUUUACCAUCAAAUAGCACCUACUUCAGGGACAAGGCAAGGAAAGAGAGACAAAAUAAAUAUACAUCAACAUAUUUUGCUGUGUGUAUGCUUACUUGUUGUGUCUGACUCUUUGCAACCCAAUGGACUGUAGCCCACCAGGUUCCUCUGUCUAUGGGAUUUUCCAGGUAAGAAUACUGGAGUGGGUUGCCAUUUCCUGCUCCAGGAAACUUCCUGACCCAGAGAUAGAAACUGCAUCUUCUUGCAUCUCCUCUUGUACUGGCGUGUGGGAUCUUUACCACCGUACCACUAGUUUUGCUACACCUAGAAAGUGAGAGGAGAAUGGAUUAGAGUUACUUGCCAAUUAAUUCCCUCCCUCCACCAGCCUCCCUUUCUUUCCCCUGCUAAUUCUUAUGGAGAGCCUGCUACAUACCAACUGUAAAGGGUUUGGGUGAGCAACUGACAUUUUAUCUGUAAAAUAGGGAUGCUGAUUCCAGUUGUACAGAAUUGUGAAACAGAAUAAGAUUUCUAAACCUUUACUAUUAAAGUUAAAGUUCAUGAGACAACUCAGGGGAUAAGUGACAUAGGC